GACAACGUGGCUGAGUGGUUAAGACGAUGCCCUGCUAUCUCCUCGAGACAUCAUAGACAUUGUGUUCGCACGCUUAGGUUCGAAUCCUGGCCGUUGUCG